UCGUCCCUGUUGGAGGCAAGGGUCUGCCCCCGGCUCUUACUUAAGGAGCGGGACGGGGGACGAGAGCGUGCGCGGCGUCACACGCACGCUUAGCCACCCCCCAAGAAGCCGCCGCCGCGCUCAAGCUCCGCGCGCUCAGGACCAGGUAGCGUGUAGCUGUCGUGAAGCUCCCUUUGCUCCGGUUGGGACUGGCUGCGGAUACCUGUCCGUUAUCCCCGGCACCAAUGAGAGGGACGAACAGGACCACCUGCACCGCCCACCACCCUCGCUAACAACGCUUUAAGGCCUAACGCAGGAGGCAGCUGGUGCGAAUUUACAAAUCGGGUUUUUCACCCCCGCGUGGCUGCAAUGUCCGCCCAGUUCGAGCCCCACAUUCUCCCGCUGGCUCCGCCUGGGGGUCGGGCCAACUCUUGCUGCUAAGGAAGCCUCACCAGUCCCCUUCCCGUUUGCUACCUAAAUGUCCUCGGCGGGAAACUGCUGAGAACAAUUUGGGGAAGCCUGAACUUGUUCCUAGUUCCGCGCUUUAUUACUUGUGAUCAUGACUGGUCAGAACUCCGCCCGGAGCCUCCAUUUGUUCAUCUGAAAAAUGGGGUUGAGAAGCUCAAGUACCAGAAUGUGAAAACGCUUUCUAAAGGCGAAGGCAUGGUAUCUUGUGAGAUAGUAAUUCCUUCAAACUCACGCAUAGGCUAUUCCUAUUCCUAACUUUGCGAUCUGCUUUCACUAGGCAAUCCCUUUCCCUUUGUAUCCUUAUAAUUUUCACCUAUAGAUUUUACCCCCAGGGUUUUUUAAUGCCCUCUGAACAUUAUUUCCAUUUCAGUUAAGCUUGUCUGGCCAAAUUUGGUUGUCCUCCAGAGUCUGACCUCUUUUUGCUUGGCGCUUGUUUCACCAGGUUGAAGUGGUCCUUUAGGUCUCAGUUUUUCCCGUAUGGGGUGCCUUACUUAAACCAAGGUGCCUCGGGGCCAGUGCUAGUUUCCUAGAUACUGGAGGAAAGCAAGCAAGGAAGGAGUAGAGAAUCCAGUCACUUGACUUCAUUAUCCUCUUCAAACCGAAAUUUUGAAGGACAAGGAAAAGUUUCAAGGCUGCAGCCUUUCACAGUCCUCUGAGGGACAAAACUCAAAUAUAGUUCUUGCCUUGAAGGUGGUCACAAACAAAAAGGGUAAAUGAUCCUAAGGUUUAAAUAUAGACCUAAAAGAGAGAUAUAUACAAUGGAAAUUUAAUCUUGUAAUUCUUUGCAGGCAGCAGUAAUUUAUAGGUUAAAGUCCUGGUUGUAGUUUAAUUAUAAAAUAUGUUCUUUUAUUAGUAUUUAUCACUAUGGUGACUUCUUUAGCCAAAGAGUAUCUAAACUGAACUCUCAGAGCUAACAGAAGUAACUAUGUUGCAGUGAGAGCAACAGUCCUGGGUCUCUACCUCUUGUUUUCUAUGUGACCUUGGCAAUUCAACCAACAUCUUUGAGGCUGUUUUUUUGGUAAGGAAUGGAAAGAACAUAUGGCAACAGGGAUUUGUAAAGUACCGUAUAAAUAUAUAUAUUUAAAUUAAGUGCUUUGUGGGAAA
rnacentral:lncRNA from 10 species